CGCCUCUUGAUUAAAUAUAAGAGGUCCAGCCUGCCCAGUGACUUACUUAAACGGCCGCGGUAACAUAACCGUGCAAAGGUAGCAUAAUCAUUCGUUCUUUAAAUAGGGACUCGUAUCAACGGCACCACGAGGGUUAUACUGUCUCCCCCUUCUAAUCAGUGAAACUGACCUCCCCGUGAAGAGGCGGAGAUAAAACUACAAGACGAGAAGACCCCAUGGAGCUUUAAACCCAAUAAUAAUUUUUACCUAAACAAUCCAUAAAAGCAUAAAAAUUCUAUUUGUUGGUUUUGGGUUGGGGCGACCACGGAGUAAAACAAAACCUCCCUGACGAACAGGUUUUAUCCUAAUCCAAGAGCUACUGCUCUAAGAAUCAAAAAUUUGACGUAACAUGAUCCGGUAACCGAUCAACGAACCAAGUUACCCUGGGGAUAACAGCGCAAUCCA
rnacentral:rRNA from 1 species